rnacentral:rRNA from 1 species
GGGAGAGGAACUUGUUCCUCGAGUCGUUGAUUUCACACUGCCGAGAAAAGCCUCUAGCUAGAAUAACGGUGCCCGUACCGCAAACCGACACAGGUAGUCAAGAUGAGAAUUCUAAGGUGAGCGAGCGAACUCUCGUUAAGGAACUCGGCAAAAUGACCCCGUAACUUCGGGAGAAGGGGUGCUCUUUGAGGUUCACGCUUCGAAGAGCCGCAGUGAAUAGGCCCAAGCGACUGUUUAUCAAAAACACAGGUCUCUGCUAAACCGUAAGGUGACGUAUAGGGGCUGACGCCUGCCCGGUGCUGGAAGGUUAAGAGGAGUGGUUAGCGCAAGCGAAGCUACGAAUCGAAGCCCCAGUAAACGGCGGCCGUAACUAUAACGGUCCUAAGGUAGCGAAAUUCCUUGUCGGGUAAGUUCCGACCCGCACGAAAGGCGUAACGAUUUGGGCACUGUCUCAACGAGAGACUCGGUGAAAUCAUAGUACCGGUGAAGAUGCCGGUUACCCGCGACAGGACGGAAAGACCCCGUGGAGCUUUACUGUAGCCUGAUAUUGAAAUUCGGUACAGUUUGUACAGGAUAGGUAGGAGCCUUAGAAGCGUGAGCGCUAGCUUACGUGGAGGCAUUGGUGGGAUACUACCCUAAUUGUAUUGGAUUUCUAACCCGCAGCACUUAUCGUGCUGGGAGACAGUGUCAGGCGGGCAGUUUGACUGGGGCGGUCGCCUCCUAAAGAGUAACGGAGGCGCUCAAAGGUUCCCUCAGAAUGGUUGGAAAUCAUUCAUAGAGUGUAAAGGCAUAAGGGAGCUUGACUGCGAGACCUACAAGUCGAGCAGGGUCGAAAGACGGACUUAGUGAUCCGGUGGUUCCGCAUGGAAGGGCCAUCGCUCAACGGAUAAAAGCUACCCCGGGGAUAACAGGCUUAUCUCCCCCAAGAGUUCACAUCGACGGGGAGGUUUGGCACCUCGAUGUCGGCUCAUCGCAUCCUGGGGCUGUAGUCGGUCCCAAGGGUUGGGCUGUUCGCCCAUUAAAGCGGUACGCGAGCUGGGUUCAGAACGUCGUGAGACAGUUCGGUCCCUAUCCGUCGUGGGCGUAGGAAAUUUGAGAGGAGCUGUCCUUAGUACGAGAGGACCGGGAUGGACAUACCUCUGGUGUACCAGUUGUCGUGCCAACGGCAUAGCUGGGUAGCUAUGUAUGGACGGGAUAAGUGCUGAAAGCAUCUAAGCAUGAAGCCCCCCUCGAGAUGAGAUUUCCCAACUUCGGUUAUAAGAUCCCUCAAAGAUGAUGAGGUGAAU